rnacentral:rRNA from 1 species
UGCCAGACUCCUACGGGAGGCAGCAGUGGGGGAUAUUGCACAAUGGGGGAAACCCUGAUGCAGCGACGCCGCGUGGGUGAAGAAGCGCCUCGGCGCGUAAAGCCCUGUCAGCAGGGAAGAAAAUGACGGUACCUGAAGAAGAAGCCCCGGCUAACUACGUGCCAGCAGCCGCGGUAAUACGGAGGAUGCGAGCGUUAUCCGGAUUUAUUGGGUUUAAAGGGUGCGCAGGCGGAUUUUUAAGUCAGCGGUCAAAUCGUGGGGCUCAACCCCAUCCAGCCGUUGAAACUGGGGAUCUAGAGUGUGCGAGAGGUAUGCGGAAUGCGUGGUGUAGCGGUGAAAUGCAUAGAUAUCACGCAGAACCCCGAUUGCGAAGGCAGCAUACCGGUGCACAACUGACGCUCAGGCACGAAAGCGUGGGUAUCGAACAGGAUUAGAUACCCCUGUAGG